rnacentral:lncRNA from 1 species
UGGAAACCAACAAAGAGAGGCAAUCGCGAUUUUUUAGGAUCCAAAAAGGGCAUGCAGCGUGUAUCGUGGACUCGGAGUGGAAGGUUGGGGAGCUUAACAGUAAGGGAACUCCUUUGUGUAGCAACAAAUGAAGGAAGUCAGAGGGGAAAUGUAGUGGCAAAAGUCACGUAUACGAGACGAAGGCGAAGAGGUAUGGAGGUUGUUGUCUUGGUAUGGAAUUUGCCCAGAGCAGGAAGAUAAGAAGCAAGCAAAUCUGAGAACUCCACUCUGUUCCUGCAGCAAUUUUGCUAUUGUUGGAGCUGAGAGAUAUAAAAUAAUACAAAACUGAAAAAUUAAGAAGGAUAAAUCGAUGUGAGAAUGAGGGGUGGGAUGAUAGGAACUGUCAAGCUGGUGAGUUGCGUAAGACUUAUAGUCAAGGAAAAGAAAAGAAGAAAAGAGCUUGCCGCUGUGAGGGGUUUUUGUGUAUGGUUGUAGUGAUUCCCGUUGGGUUGAUAAAUGUGCAUAGAGGCCAGUGAGGUCCUGGCUUUAAUGCAUGUGGGGUUUACUCCUCUUUGAGAGCCUUUGGAAGGAUUAAAUAAAGCUCACCUAAUCCAGUGUUCGCGUGUAUCCGUAUCUCAAGACUCUGUUACUUGGACCUAUCUUGAUGGAAGGCUUUAAAACCCUCUACUUUUCUGCUAUCUUGGUGGGUGGUUGCUGGAGGGCUGAAGCCC